AAGUCGUAACAAGGUUUCCGUAGGUGAACCUGCGGAAGGAUCAUUAACGAAUUAUGGAGAGUUGAUGCUGGUGUUAAUUCACAUGUGCUCGCUCUCUUAAUCCAUAUACACCUGUGCACCUUUUGAUUUCGAAGGCUUAUUGGAGACGCAAGUCGAAGAUAGCCUUUGGAACCUCAACAUAUCCCUCUUGUAAUCAUGAAUGUUUCAUUUGUCGAAAGACAGAAUUAAAUACAACUUUUAACAACGGAUCUCUUGGCUCUCGCAUCGAUGAAGAACGCAGCGAAAUGCGAUAAGUAAUGUGAAUUGCAGAAUUCAGUGAAUCAUCGAAUCUUUGAACGCACCUUGCGCUCCCUGGUAUUCCGGGGAGCACGCCUGUUCGAGUGUCAUGAAACUCUCAAGCGAGAUGCUUUAUUGCUAUCUUCGUUUGGAUUUGGACUCUGCCGCGAUUCUUUUAGAACGCGGCUGGUCUUAAAUGCAUUAGCUGGCCCUUGUGUAGGCUUGGUUCUACUCGGCGGUGAUAAUUAUCUAACGUCGAGGACAUUCUUCGGAAUGGCCAGGUCCUCUUCGGACUGCUUCUAAUCGUCUUAGGACAAUUUAACUUCAUAUCUGACCUCGAAUCAGGUGGGACUACCCGCUGAACUUAAGCAUAUCAAUAAGCGGAGGAAAAGAAACUAACAAGGAUUCCCCUAGUAACGGCGAGUGAAGCGGGAUGAGCUCAAAUUUAAAAUCUGGUGGUCUUUGGCCAUCCGAGUUGUAAUCUAGAGAAGCGUUUUCCGCGCUGGACUGUGUACAAGUUUCCUGGAUACGGAACAUCAUAGAGGGUGAGAAUCCCGUCCUUGACACAGACUCCCUGUGCUUUGUGAUGCGCUCUCGACGAGUCGAGUUGUUUGGGAAUGCAGCUCAAAAUGGGAGGUAAAUUCCUUCUAAAGCUAAAUAUUGGCGAGAGACCGAUAGCGAACAAGUACCGUGAGGGAAAGAUGAAAAGCACUUUGGAAAGAGAGUUAAACAGUACGUGAAAUUGUUAAAAGGGAAACGAUUGAAGUCAGUCGCGUCUACUUGGACUCAGCCUUACCUCGGUUUGGUGCAUUUCCUUGUGGACGGGCCNGCGUCCAUGUUGUUCACUGGAAAAAGGUUGGGGGAAUGUGGCUCUUUCGGGAGUGUUAUAGCCCUUGAUCAUAUACAGCGAGUGAUAUGGAGUGGUACAGCAUGCUUCGGCGGUGCUUGUGCUGGCAUAAUGGCUUUAAACGACC
rnacentral:rRNA from 1 species